rnacentral:rRNA from 1 species
UACGUAGGGGGCAAGCGUUGUCCGGAUUUAUUGGGCGUAAAGAGCGUGUAGGCGGCUUGGUAGGUCCGCUGUGAAAACUCGAGGCUCAACCUCGAGAUGUCGGCGGAAACCAUUUGGCUAGAGUCCGGAAGAGGAAAGUGGAAUUCCUGGUGUAGCGGUGAAAUGCGCAGAUAUCAGGAAGAACACCCGUGGCGAAGGCGGCUUUCUGGGACGGUACUGACGCUGGAGACGCGAAAAGCGUGGGGAGGCGAACGG